ensembl:lncRNA
GGGACAGCAAAUGUACACUGUUAUACAAGCUGUACACCUACUACUUUACAUUAUAGCAAAGUGUCAUUUCUUCAGUGUUGUCACAAGAUAUAAUCAUAUUUACAAAAUGUUAGGGGUGUACUCACUUUUGUGAGAUAUUUUAUAUUGUGUUUCAGACAUUCAUACACGUACAGAAACAUAUUUACUUACGUGAAUUGUAGGAUCCUAGACCUUAGGUAAGUUAAGGGGUAUAAUAUUUUGUAACCACGAUUCACCUGUAAUGAAAAAAAUCUAUUAGUAUUCAUAAUGUCACUCAAUAGUUUCAGCAGUGAAAUCAGAGGAAAACCAUUCUUUAAUGAAAAGCUGCUUACCUCCGUAGUAACAUUUGCUGCCAGUUCCUGAUAUGCUGUGGUAGAAGAGUUGGAAUAAUCAUCCAUGAAUGUACGGAUCAUUCUAAAUCCUAAUUCCACUGACCCCUCAUUUGCUGUAGGCUUUGCUGUUGAGUCUGUAGUUGCAGUUGUGGCUGCAGUAGUUGGGGUUAGUGCUGUGGUUGACGUGGCACCUGCCAAGUUUGUUGUUGAAGGAACCGUGAUUUCUGUGGUACCUGCAGUGUUUGUUGUUGCAGCAGUUGUUAAUGUUGGAGUAGGUGUAGUUGAUGAGACAGCUGUAGUGGUUGAUGUUUGAGCUGUUGUUGUAGUUGUUGAAGCUGUAAUUGUUGUUGGAGCAGAUGUGGUUGUUGUAGUGGCAGAUGUGGUUGCUGUGACACCUGCCAUGUUUGUUGUUGCAGUUGUUGUUGAUGUCGCAGUUGUUGUUGGUGCAGGUGUAGUUGAUGAGAAAGCUGUAGUGGUUGAUGUUUGAGCCGUUGUUGUAGUAGUUGCAGCUGUGGUUGUUGUAGUGGCAGAUAUAGUUGUUGUGGCUGUAUCUGUAGUUGACGUGGGUGCAGUUGUUGUUGAUGUGGCAGGUUCUGUGGUUGUUGUGGCAGUUGUAGUUGUUGAGGGAAGUGCUGUGGUUGACGUGGUUGCCGAUGUUGAUGUUGGAGCAACUGUGGUUGUUGUGGCACCUGCCAUGUUUGUUGUUGCAGUUGUUGUUGAUGUUGGAGCAGGUGUAGUUGAUGAGACAGCUGUAGUUGUUGUUGGAGCAGGUGUGGUUGUUGUACUGGCAGAUGUAGUUGUUGUGGCUGUAUCUGUGGUUGAAGUGGGUGCAGUUGUAGUUGAUGUGGCAUGUUCUGUGGUUGUUGUGGCAGCUGCAGUUGUUGUGGGAAGUGCUGUGAUUGACGUGGUUGCCGAUGUUGAUGUUGGAGCAACUGUGGUUGUUGUGGCACCUGCCAUGUUUGUUGUUGCAGUUGUUGUUGAUGUUGGAGCAGGUGUAGUUGAUGAGACAUCAGUAGUGGUUGAUGUUUGAGCUGUUGUUGUCGUGGCUGCAGCUGUAGUGGUUAGAGCUGUAGUUGUUGUUGGAGCAGGUGUGGUUGUUGUA